rnacentral:rRNA from 1 species
UGGGGAAUCUUGGACAAUGGGCGCAAGCCUGAUCCAGCCAUGCCGCGUGAGUGAAGAAGGCCUUCGGGUUGUAAAGCUCUUUUACCAGGGACGAUAAUGACGGUACCUGGAGAAUAAGCCCCGGCAAACUUCGUGCCAGCAGCCGCGGUAAUACGAAGGGGGCUAGCGUUGUUCGGAUUUACUGGGCGUAAAGCGCGUGUAGGCGGGUCGUUAAGUUGGGGGUGAAAUCCCCGGGCUCAACCUGGGAACUGCAUUCAAAACUGACUGACUAGAGUAUGGUAGAGGGUGGUGGAAUUUCCUGUGUAGCGGUGAAAUGCGUAGAUAUAGGAAGGAACACCAGUGGCGAAGGCGACCACCUGGACUGAUACUGACACUGAGGUGCGAAAGCGUGGGGAGCAAACAGGAUUAGAUACCCCAGUAGUCCCUGAGCGGGCUGGCAAGGCGCAU